rnacentral:lncRNA from 1 species
GUUUAUUUUUAACCCUGAUCUGCCUUGCAACACAAGUCUGCAAGUCAUUUGUCAGAACAAUGGCUGGCCAGUAACUGCUACUUCAGUGGGCCUGUGACUUCCAGAGCUUGAAACAUAAAGCAGUUGGGUCUCCAGGUGCUUCAAAGAUUUCAAAAGUCAUCUGUGUGGUGCUGGGAAAUACAACACUAGAUGUAUGGGAUACAUAUGCUAUUUGGAAGAGGGCAGAGGCAAACCCUAUCCAAACAAGGAAGGGGAGGAAGAUGCAUUGCAAAAUCGUGGAUGGGUCACGUGAGUCAAAAAUACAUGCAUAGAUAUACUUUUGUCUGGAAGGCCCAGCUCAGAGGUGUGAUGCCUGCAUUUUAGUGCUUUGCACAGUGAGUUGGUGAGUGUACAUACAGUAAGUUGAAUGCAUUUUGGCUGCAUCUGACUUUUCACCUGUAUGCACUUGCUGUUUGUCUAGGACUUUGAAUGUUCAGGCUUCCAGAUGUUCAGAAAUCCCCUGCUAAUAUGCUGUAAUAAGAGACUCCAUUGGAGGGUGCUAAACUAGUUGAUAUUCCCUAGGAAUUCAGUCCCUUAUAAAAUACAAACUUUAUGUCACUUUUUAUAAAGACGAAGUCCAAGCUCCCUAAGUCAUAUGGAAGUUCUCUGCUGAGUUAAAAAAGGAGUUGGGCUACACCCAUGAAAAAUCCUUUCUCCCGUGAAGAUGUGGCAGUUUCAUUUGCCUGUUCGUCUUAUAGGUUCAACUGAUCAGCUGCUGUAAUUUUAGCACACAUUACUUGCUACCUAUGGUCCAUGCCAAAGACCAAAUAUCUUUGUAUGGUGGUGUUCCUUCACACUCUACUUGUUAUGGUUAAACAUUGCUGAGAGAGCCUGUACUCAGUCCUUUUUCAUCUGCUUGAUUUUUUUCAGUAUCAUGAGGAGGUAUAUUAUUGUGUAUAUCUUCUGACACACUAGAAUUAGACCCAUUCCUACUUCACUAUGGUGAUAAUAAAUGUCACCAUUACUUGUCUACA